GCUUGCAUGGUGUAGUGGUUUCAGCAUUAGACUACAACUCUAGAGACCAGGGUUCAAAUCCCCGCUCGGUCA